rnacentral:lncRNA from 1 species
AAUACUCUCUUCCUCCCAUAAUUUUUUCAUUAGUUCUAAAUUACUGUCUUAUUUCAUUUUCAUCCAUCAAAUACUACAAGCUCAUGAUAAGCAUGGCUCCAUAUAAUAAUAAUAACUGUAGUUUAAGCCAAAUACAUCAUUUGCCGCUUGAACUUAUACAAAAAAGUCUUGUGGCCUCCUCUACUUUCAAAAUGACCUUUUGGCACCCUAAAAGUUACCUUGUGGUACCCUAAAAGUGACCUUGUGGCACCUUAAAGUUUAUUUUUUAUAACAAUUAAACACCUAAUCAGAGUAGUAAAUUGGUUGUACGCAACAUGUGCAGAUAAAGUGGAAAAUUACAAUUUCAAGUCAUAAUUAAUUUUGCCACGUUGGAUAUGCAACAAAAAAUUCAUGAAUUGGUCCAAAUCAAACCUAAAUCAAACCAAAUCAGCAACUAACCCAAAAUCCCUUCUCCCCCUUUCUCAUCGCACCACAGUCCCCUCCCCUAUCCCCUUUGUUUUUCGUUCACCAGAGCUCAAAGCUCCACUGAUUUGACCACCUCACAUCACUGGCAGCACCCCUGGCCAGUGCUUCCUGCCUUUGUUCUUGUUCAAGCAGCGGUAAUGAGAGAGACAGAGGGGCUUGUCGAUCGAGACAACCCUCUUGCUCCUUUCUUUUGGCGUUUCCGGUGACUUGAGCUCAAGUCGCACCGACUAGAGCUUUUUAUCAUCGUUCCUCCAUCGCUCACUGCAUCUCCGGUCUCUCUCUUUCUCUUCUGGUGAGCACAGUAGAGGGCAAGUCGCAAUCUCGCAGUCUCUUUCGUUCUCUUUUGGUCUCUCUCUCUCUUUCUCUUUCAACAUUACUUUUCUGUUUCUCCGGCAAGACCGACCACAAGGCGGCGAGACCAGUCAACGGUCGACCUAUUAUACCCUUCCACUGUCCCUAAUAACUUCACCAGCGACUGCUCUCAUCAACUCCAGCCACCACAGUGAGAUGAGAUUGGUUUAGUCAGGGAAUCCAAAUUUAGAGUGAAUUUGCAAGAAGAAAAUAGGAUGAGAGAGAAAAAAAUAGGUUUAAUAAUAUUCUAAUUUAG